rnacentral:rRNA from 1 species
GACGAACGCUGGCGGCGUGCUUAACACAUGCAAGUCGAACGGAAAGGCCUCUUUCGGGGGGUACUCGAGUGGCGAACGGGUGAGUAACAGGUGAGUAACCUGCCCUUGACUUUGGGAUAACUUCAGGAAACUGGGGCUAAUACCGGAUAGGAGCUCCUGCUGCAUGGUGGGGGUUGGAAAGUUUCGGCGGUUGGGGAUGGACUCGCGGCUUAUCAGCUUGUUGGUGGGGUAGUGGCUUACCAAGGCUUUGACGGGUAGCCGGCCUGAGAGGGUGACCGGCCACAUUGGGACUGAGAUACGGCCCAGACUCCUACGGGAGGCAGCAGUGGGGAAUAUUGCACAAUGGGUGGAAGCCUGAUGCAGCAACGCCGUGUGCGGGAUGACGGCCUUCGGGUUGUAAACCGCUUUCGCUCAUGACGAAGCUUUGUGUGACGGUAGUGGGUAAAGAAGCACCGGCUAACUACGUG